rnacentral:rRNA from 1 species
UACGGAGGGGGCUAGCGUUGUUCGGAAUUACUGGGCGUAAAGCGCGCGUAGGCGGCUUUGUAAGUUAGAGGUGAAAGCCCGGAGCUCAACUCCGGAAUUGCCUUUAAGACUGCAUCGCUAGAAUCAUGGAGAGGUGAGUGGAAUUCCGAGUGUAGAGGUGAAAUUCGUAGAUAUUCGGAAGAACACCAGUGGCGAAGGCGACUCACUGGACAUGUAUCGACGCUGAGGUGGCGAAAGCGUGGGGAGCGAACAGG